rnacentral:rRNA from 1 species
CCGGGCUUGAACUACAGAUGGUAGGUCCCUAGUAAACAGGGGCCGACCCGCAAGGGAGUCUGCAGAGGUGCUGCAUGGUUGUCGUCAGCUCGUGUCGUGAGAUGUUGGGUUAAGUCCCGCAACGAGCGCAACCCCUAUCCAAUGUUGCUAAUCCCGCAAGGGAUGCACUCUUUGGAAACUGCCUUCGAUAAGAAGGAGGAAGGUGGGGACGACGUCAAAUCCUCAUGGCCCUUAUGUCCGGGGCUACACACGUGUUACAAUGGCCGGUACAGAGGGAAGCAAUACCGCAAGGUGGAGCAAAACUCAAAAAGCCGGCCCCAGUUCAGAUUGUGGGCUGCAACUCGCCCACAUGAAGGCGGAAUCGCUAGUAAUCGCAGAUCAGCAGGCUGCGGUGAAUACGUUCCC